ensembl:lncRNA
CCCGUGGACAACAGCCCACCAGGCUCCUCUGUCCACAGGAUUCCCCAGGCAAGAAUACUGAAGUGGGUUGCCAUUUCUUCUCCAAGGAUAAAUAUACUGCAGGAAAUAAAACUCAUGAGAAAAGUCACAUGCUACUGAAAACUGGUUGAUUUGGGGAGAAGGGUUGCUGGAUGAAGAGAGCUCCUGGAUUGAGGUCAUGUCCAUGAAGAGAGAGGCAGAUGAGCAAACUGAUGUCAAGGUCAUACAACUACUGAAUGGCGGAAUCCAGAUUUCAUUCCCGGCAAACAGAGUCCAGAGCCCUAAAACUUCAACCAUUAUAUACACUGUGAAGAUAUUUCAUUAAAUACAGAUGGAAUUAAAUCAUCUGACAUUAGAGACAAAGGAAAUUCUGAGAUUAUUGAUUUCCAUCAUGAAACAGAUAUAGAAACUGAAGCUAAGACUUGGAAGUGUCUUGGUUCAGGUGAUUUAUAUAAUUGCAGAAACGUAUCUGCACAAGGC